rnacentral:snRNA from 1 species
UUGCUUCCGAAGCACAUAUACUAAAAUUGGAGCAAUACAGAGAAGUUUAGCAUGGCCUCUGUACAAGGUUUUAAUUACAUUUAAAAGAUUUUU